rnacentral:rRNA from 2 species
GUCGGGCUUAGUGAUCCGGUGGUUCCGCAUGGAAGGGCCAUCGCUCAACGGAUAAAAGCUACCCCGGGGAUAACAGGCUUAUCUCCCCCAAGAGUCCACAUCGACGGGGAGGUUUGGCACCUCGAUGUCGGCUCAUCGCAUCCUGGGGCUGUAGUCGGUCCCAAGGGUUGGGCUGUUCGCCCAUUAAAGCGGUACGCGAGCUGGGUUCAGAACGUCGUGAGACAGUUCGGUCCCUAUCCGUCGUGGGCGCAGGAAAUUUGAGAGGAGCUGUCCUUAGUACGAGAGGACCGGGAUGGACGCACCGCUGGUGUACCAGUUGUCUUGCCAAAGGCAUCGCUGGGUAGCUAUGUGCGGACGGGAUAAGUGCUGAAAGCAUCUAAGCAUGAAGCCCCCCUCAAGAUGAGAUUUCCCAUAGCGUCAAGCUAGUAAGAUCCCUGAGAGAUGAUCAGGUUGAUAGGUCAGAGGUGGAAGCACGGUGACGUGUGGAGCUGACUGAUACUAAUCGAUCGAGGACUUAACCAAAC